rnacentral:lncRNA from 1 species
GCCAAAUUACCUGUGCACUUUGCCAGCUAAUCAUCUACAACGUUCCCAUACAGGAACAAGAAUUUCAACACCUCUCACUCUCUCUCUCUCUCACACACACACGCACACACACAGUGCUUUCCUCAAUUCAAUUUAUGAUUGAGGUUGAAUUACUAUCUCACGAACCUAGGUUUUGAUCCCAUAAUCUCAAAUACAUUUAUAUAGACUUUCUUUCCUACAAUUACAACUUUAUCCGUGUGUGCACUACACUACUAAAUUCAAUGUGAUGCAUUGACAUCAUAUACAUAGAUUUAUGCAUGAUGUCGACGAAUUAUAGUCCAUCCAGAAGUCCGGUGAACUCGAGAAUGCAGUUAGGCGGAGGCGGUGUAUCUAGGCUGAGAUCCUCGUAUAUAAGGAAGCCCCCGGAGCCGCUGCGCCGAGCAGUUGCCGAUUGUUUGUCGGCUGCCGCUUCGUCCCACCAGGCCACGCUGUCUACUGAAGCUUCCAGAAUUUUACGGGUUUGAAUUCUCGCCAUGCUUUUACUCAGUUUUGCCCGUGUAUUCAGAUCUUGUAACCUCUAUUGUAGUCGUAUAACCUAGGGUUUUGUUUAAAAUGCUAUGUAACACCCAACUGGUGUUAACAUCGGUGUACGCUAGCAUUAAAUGAUAUGAUAAGAUCAAUUCUAAUUUGGUGAUAUGAGACCCAUCUAAUUAAACCUACAUGCCACAUGGAUUGGUGUUAAACACAUCAGUUGGCUACAUAGAAUUGCUCUUUAGUUAAAGAUGGUGGCGGGGGUUGCAAUCUGGGAAUGCCAAUUGUUGAGCGAUUAUGAUUUUUAUACAAAAAACUCCGAUUUUGAUAUGAAAAGUGGGUUGCUUUUUUUUUUUUUUUUUUUAUUAUUAUUAUUAACGGAUAGAUUGAGUGGGAGUUAAAAUUUUUUGGUUAUUUGAUUCUCUAGACGGGUAUUCUGUAUUUUGGGAAUGCAAGUCAAUCAAGAUAUCAUAUUGAAUCUCGAAUGUGGUUCAUAGUUAUUAUGUAGUCUCUUGUUUCUAGCACUUGAUUCUGUUUAUUGUGGGGCUGUGUUUUCUAUUCAUGGUUGCUGGACACCCAUCUCUCGCCAGAAGGACAACAGAGAAAAUGAUAUAGUUCUUUUGAAUUUGAAACUGUAGUAAAUUGGCGCGCUAUGCUAUCUUUACAAAGUGGACAUUUAAUUUUUAAUGGAAGAAUGGUAACUGCAUUCAUACUUGAAUUUGAUUUAAAAGUUGAUUAUAACUAUCAUGGAAAAAUGUCUUUCCCCAUGUCCAUUUUAAAUAGAGUCUUAACACUUCAUUGAGAUUGAAUUCUUCAGUUCUAAUCCAUGAUAGGUGUCCUAUCAAUGUAUAUGACAUGUUGAUGCUUAUAAUUCAAAAGAGCAGCAUUCUAGUCACUCUCUCUCUCUCUCUCACACACACACAUGCAUUUUGGGGGGGGGAGGGAGGGAGAGAGGUUACCACAUUGGAUGAUUUACAUUGCUUUCUUAAUGGCAGGAUUAUCUGGCAAUGCAGUCAACAAUCGACUUGGCAUACAGUGUCAUUCUAGAUCACACACUUGCAGAGAGGGAAAGAAGGUAUGCAUACUGCAUGCCUUAAUACAAUCCAUCAUUAUACCAACACCAUUAUUGCUGUUAGAUAGAUGGUUACUUACCAGUAUCUUCUCUUUCACUCCAUAAUCACACUUUAAUUAUUUACAAUUCUUUUGCUGAUGUUUCCAAUUAUGCCUUAUUUGAUUUUACUGGUUUCUAUAAAGUUAACUUGGGAAAGUAAUUUUGAAAGGGGCACUAAGUUCCUUGCCUUGUGCCAACUCAUGCAUAUGGCUUUUUUGAGCUCUAAUUGACGCAAAUUUACAUUGCAUCUUGUUUCAUUUUAGUGAAAAGAUGUACGGAAGGCUUUGCUGAGAUAUACUUUUACACUAAAACAGUAAAGCUCAUUUUAUUCACACAAUUGCACCGUAGUUUUGACUUUUGAGAAACAUCGUAGAAUUUUUACUGGCUACGUAUGAAUUUCAAGAACAUUCACUCGUAUGAUAAUUAUGAAGUUGUACAUUAGACUCUGAAAAAUAUUAUUCUUUGCUGCAAAUAUUAUUUUCCUCAUUGUCAGAUUUUGUCCAUGGAGCAUGUUUGGCUAAGAUUAAAAGUUUACUUAUAAGUAAAUAAGUAAGUUUUAAAGAUAGACAAUUUUUGUAUUGUUUAGUGUAUGAUAAGUUACUUAUUUUGAUAGUAAGUUAAGAGUUACAUUAAAAUAAGUAUCUUGUUUUACUUAAAACUAAGUUAUCCAAAAGCAUUUGGAAACAAAAAGUUACUUGUAGUCAGAUUAGCUAACCACACUAUGUCUUACAUUGCAUUUAGCUUAUGUUUGAUCUCCAUUUUCUCCUAUAUGAUAAUUUUGCACGUAAGCUCAAUAUUUUUCCUAUUUUUUAACCACAGAUUCUUCGAAAAAUCACUAUUUCAAAACAUAUUCACCCCCCUCCCAAAAAAGAUGGGGGAGGGGGGCUUAAACAUGGCCCUAAUACCUAAAUACCCUUUUUUUGGCCUUGGAUUAAGUUUUGUUUGGUUAAUUCUUUUUGAGCAUUUGAGCUAUAUCCCUUGAAUAAUUUUGUAUAUAGUAUACAAUUGAACUUUAAUUUCCCUUUGUUUGAAUCAGUCCAGCGGUUGUAGCAAGGUGUGUGGCACUUUUGAAACGAUAUCUUUUAAGGUGCGUUCGUCCCAUAUUUAAGAUCAUUAUCUUCAUUUAACAUCUUGUGUAGACCAAUAGAGUACACGUGAUUUGAAAACAGUGCUUACGUUUUUAAUAAUUAUAGUGUGCUCAUUUGUACCAGUAUCAUCUGGUUAUUGUGACUUUUGACUCAAAUUCAGAGAUACAAUUGCGAAAUUUAAUAUCUGUAGAAUUUAAAAUUCGAUGAUCAUGGACCUGGACACAGUUUGGACUUGAAACUGGAUAUAUAGAUACGAAAACACAACCAUUCUUCAGAAAAGGACAGUUGUGACACAACAAUUACAUUAGAUAUAUAUGCAUGUGUAUCACUCUAUAUAUUAUGUGUAUGCCAAGAAAAAAAAUUCAAAAACAUAAAACUUCGCUUUAAAAUAUUUCUGAUUUUAAUUUCCUUAAACUGUGCAAUGUUCUACUUUCCCCUCUAUUUUCAACACCCAAAACUUUCAUGAGACCAGACAGAAUGGGUAGUUCCUUGUACCAGGUCCAACACCAAUCUCCUCAUCCAUUUCUUUUUGUAUUUUGACAUGCCAAGCUGUCUGAACAGCUGUUGACUGUGAUCAAUGCUGUCUCAACAUGACAGGCAUGUGUUGGGCAUUGUACAUGCUCAUUUUAAGAACAUCAGUGCUAUAGAGAACAUCGGUGCUAUAGAUAUAAAACUACUAGUCAUGGUCUGAUCUAUGCACAUGCUUAAUUUUAAAAUGUUUUAUAUUUUCUUAUCUGGGAAAUAUGAUUGAUUAGUAAAUAAAAAUUCCCAUCAAAUUGUGUCGCUACUCAUUAAAGAAAGUUCUAUUAGAUUUUCUAAUUUAGUGAGUUUUUCCUUUAGGUUUAAAUUACUCAAUUGUGGUGUUAUUGAGUUUAUUCAAAAUUAUAAUUAGAUAAAAGGUGAUAGCACAUCUCUUGGGAAGGGUAGGGAGAGAUGAGAUAGGAGAGAGAAUUGGGAUGUGAAGAAAGUGGAAUUAAAAUUUGCUGUAAGAGACAUACUGAAGAAAUAAAAUGACUUACUCGAAGUUCUUCCCCCUCAAUAUAAUAUUAUAGGUUACUGUUUGAGUGGGAAAGAUUCUUUCUAGUCAUUGAAUGGACAUGUAUAUAAUUGAAGCUAUCAUACAAACAAGUGUUUUGGCAACCUACAGUAGAUUCUAGAGUUGUACAGGGAAUGAUAACAUUGGAGUAAACCAAGUGAUUGCGGUGAUUCCAGUAAACACGAUCUUGAUAAUGGUGACAAGUGUUAUAGAGUUGCACAAAUUGACGUUCAAUUUUUGAAUCUGAUGUUGCCCGGGAAAAUAUGUAACGCCCCGAAUUCUGGCAACCCGAAACCUUACGAAACAUGAAUUUUACUAAAGUGCUUGAAGCAAAUAAAUUUUAAUAUAACAAGAAAUUCAGUAAAAUUGAACAACAUUUAAUAAAGAUAUUAAAUUUAAUAAAAAUAAGCGGAACGUUUUGGAAUCAUAUCAAUAAAAAUAGUUCUAACAAAUAUAAGAUAUGAUGUACUCACAAUUGAGUCUAAAUUUAAAAAUAAAAUAAUCAAAUGUUAUUAAAUAUUCUAGUGUUUCUAAAAAUUAAAGUACUUCAUGACGAAGAUCCAUUGGUCCAAUUGCUUAUCCAUCCACCGCCGUCCAGCAUACUAAUUUUUACUUGAAAAUUGUAAAUAAAGAGGGAUGAGUAUAACGAAUUAUACUCAAUUAGAUGCUUGCUACUCCACAUUCAAAUCAAACGUGAAAUUAUGCAUAAAUUCUCUUACCAACAUAACAUGAGAAUUAUCACACCAUGACAAAUGAUAAUUCAAGCAAGCGUUGCAAAAUAACGUGAAAGCUAAAUUGUGCCUUAAAAAAUGUAUCAUGAUUUCUCUCGAAGGAGUCCUGAAUUGAAGUAAUUAAAUUCAUACAUAACAACGUAUUUGAAAAGAUGUGGAAAAACCACUAAUAGCACUGAGCAUCCCACCUUACGUAACGAAUCUUGUAUUAUAAUAUGCACUUGGAAAGCAAAUUGUGGGAACUUGUUUGCUGAGAUUUUUCUCUUGGUUGCUUGUGAAAUUGAAUAAAAUAUAGUAAACUGCUGUGGGAAUAAAGCCUUAGUAAUAUAGAGGAAAAUUUAGAGAGGAAGAGAAUAAAGUAUGGUAGAAUGCUUUAGGUAUAAUCUCAUAUAUAUAGUAGACUAAAAUACGGGGCAGGGCCGUAGGGCAGUCACGCUAAGAUUGGAAUUCUAAAAUUUCCGUCCACUUUUCCCAGAAAUUGGUUUGGACUCCUAGACUCCUAUAUAAUUUGAUUGGAGAUUGACUAUUUGUUUUGAUAAGUUUCAAAUCCAAUACAAUUUUAAUAAGGAGACACAAUGACUGCAUAUCCUGUCAACACAUGGAAAAGUAAGGCAAAUUGAUCUCCUAAUUGCAUAUAUUAUACUUGUUUUAUUCUAACACAAACACACAACUUAAAUAAAUAACUAAUUAAUCUCCAAUAAAAAAAUAAUGGCAGAAUGUUACCAAUGCGUACAAAUUAGCUAGUUUAAUUAAUUAUAGUUCUAAUUAUUCUAAUCCUAAAAUUAUUAGAAAACCUUAUCAUAAAUCAAAUCCUACAAGAUUAAGGAUUCCUAAUUAGUUUAUGUUAUAAUUAAAAUAGAUUUGUAUUACAAAGUAACUAAUAUUUAUCACAAACAAUUAGCAUGACAAGUAAUGAAAAUUGACGUUCACUUACCUUAAUUAGCAAGGAUAUUCCCUUAAUUAUAAUUUUACAUCAACUUCUUUAGACGGCUAUAACUCGAGUUUAACUUAUCCAAUUUAACUUCUUCUCUGAGUCCAUAAUUCGUAAUUUAUUACGAGCUUCAAAAUGAGUCCAAUAUUGAUAUGGUAAUACUUGCUCCUCCAAUAGUUAACUAUUUGGCCCAUUUAAUAAAAGUAUAAAUUUUUAUAUUUAUUUUCACUUUGGUCCCUCAACUAUGAAGAUAUUCAUUUACAUCCAAAUUAACUAUAGAGAUAACAAAUUAAUUUGCAUAAGGACUUAUUUGAACAUUGCAUUUCUAUUAAAUGGCAAUUAUAUGCAAACCAAAAAUUUGGGAUUCUACAAAAUAGGUUCCAUAAAUGGACAUUGUAGUGCCUUUAAGUGUGUUAAACAGCGGACUGAAGUGGGGAUUUGCAGUAAUCUUUUUCGGUAUGGGCUUGAAGCAUAGUUUUAUGGUGAACUUCUGUCGGAAUGGUGUUUCUUUGACAUAUGCAGUACAAAGUUGGAGGGUCUUUUUCCUCUAUUGGUUUGUCAUUUAUAAGGUUUUGAGGAUUAGUAAAGCUGUUCUGAUGUAGUCACUCGUUACUGAUUCAUUACAUCUUCAAUUUCUUUCUGAGAAAUAGAUUCUUUUUAUGAAAAACAACUGCUGCAUGGACUAGUUACCUCAUUAAGAGACUGAAAGGUAAAUAGGCCAAUUUGAAGGAAAAGAUUUUCCAUGUCUAGAUCAAUAUUUAAAUGAGAGUUCUAGAAAGUCUCAUGUAAUGCUUUAGGCUCUAGAAUAAGUUCAAUCUUAGGCAAGGGAAUGUUUCACAAAGAGUUACCACUGCUUAUGGGCUCCAGAAAAGUUCAACUUUACACUCUUGAAUUUAAUUUCGUUAAUGAACUCAUUGCCAACUCCGUUUUAAUUGCAGAUAUAAACCCAGUGAGGAAACUUUGCUACAGAUUGAUCGAUUUUGUGUAAGCAUAAUUGCUGAGUGCGAUGUGAGCAUUAACCGUAAAGUGGCUCCGUGGACACGUUCUUUGAGUCAACAAUCUGGGAUGCCAACACCCUCUACAAGUGUAUCUCCUUUUCCCGUGUCAAGUUUUGCAUCUGGAGCACUUGUGAAAUCCUUAAAUUAUGUUCGUUCUCUAGUGGCUCAGUACAUACCAAAGCGGUCAUUUCAAUCAGCAGUUUUUGCUGGAGCCCCUCCUGCAUCAAGGCAAUCACUUCCAACAUUGUCUUCUAUAUUAAGCAGAUCAUUCAAUUCACAAUUUAGCCCUGUAAAUAGCAAGGAUGCUCUGGAGAGCAAAGAGACAUCUAUUACAUCUGUUUCAGACUCUCCAGUUGCUGAAGAAGAUGAUGAAAAGGAAGAUCAUGAGUUCAUAGCUCUUGAUGUUUUCAGAUGGCGCUGGUUUGGAGACCAGAAAUUGUCAACUAUCUUGCCUAAAAGGUAUUAUUUUCGUCUGUUAGACAUCUUCUGUUAUUCACCCAAUUGCGUUAAUUGAUUCAGUGUGUCCAUUCUUUCUAAAAUACUCACUUACAGCGAGCACAUUCUGAAUCCCCAAGAUCUACGCACUCAUAAUUUCCUAGAAGUAGGUGCAGCAGCUCUUCUUGUAGGGGAUAUGGACCCCAAAAUGAAGGGUGAAGCUUGGAAACUUUUUGGGAGUGCAGAUAUGCCUUAUCUUGAUCAGCUACUGCAGCCAUCAUUGCUCACAACCGUUACCAAAUCUGCGUCCGCUCGUGCUCAUUUAAGAGCAAUAACAGCACUGAAACGGUCUAAACCAGGGCCCAAUCAAAUUUGGUACAUCCCUCUUGCUUAAUUAUUUUUACACAAGUUUGUGGUUUGCCUGUCUCUGUUAGUUUUAUUAUGUCUUAUUUCUAUGGUUAUAUUUUCUCUAUUGUUAUCAAAGUGUCAUAAUAAUUUUGUCAAAAAAGCAAAAUAUGAACGACUUAAUCCAUAUGACUUUCAACUACAAAGAAAAUACUUCUACUCUGUUGAAUGCGUGUCAUGCUUAUUAGGAUUGAGCCUGUCGAAUCUCAUGUCAAUCAAUUACUUUUGGUGUGCACUAGAUUUUGAGCUUUUGUUACGUUACCUAAAAAUCUGUAUUUUUUAGCUGGAUCAAGAUAUUGGGAAAUGUCAGGUGCUUGUUGGUUUGACUCCAAUGUGUUUAUAUGUUUGUAUGGUAAUGAAAUGGAAUCAAGUGUGAUAUAUUGCUGUAAAUUGAAUGGUAUAAUGUUCAAUGUAAACUAUGAAAUUGUUAUCCUCAAACGAAAAGCAGUUACAGGCAAAUGGCCAGCUUCUGAGGAUCCUUCAAUUUCACCCUAGUUUCUGCCCGAAUGAAAAUAGAACUCCUUCCUAUUUAUGAUGAGUUCAUACCACACUUAUUUGGCAGUCUACCCAGAAUACCCUAACCCCUUAACAACCUAAUUAUUAAACCAUGACAAGAACUUGUGGGUGCCUAACACAUGCUUGGUAUACUGUGCUAGACAGGCCUGCACACUAAAAUGAACAAAAAUUUAGUUUUCUUUUGUUCCUUAAUUCUGUGCCAUCCUUCUCAAAACAAUCCAUCAGUAAUCGUUUUUUUUUUUUUUUUUUGGGUUGGGUCAACUACAGAAUCUAACAGAGAUUUGGUGGAAAAACGAAACAUAGCUGUAACCUCAUUCAAUCUUAUUUAUUAACUUACGAAAACAUUGUUCUGAGAUUCACCAACAUUGCAGAUUGAAAAUAAUUUAAUUGGGGUACAAAUAAUGUUUAAAAUUCAAGAGUCGUUUGAGAUUUUCCUGGACUGAAAUCAAUUUAUUGCUUUUGGCGUUGUAUUCAAGGUUAGGGCGGGGUAAAACCCAACCCAAACCGCUCAACCCGAUCAAAUGGGUUGGGUUGAAAAAUUAUACUUGAAGUUGUAUUUCGGGUUAUAAUUUAAAACCCAAGCCGAUGAAUUAAGAAAAUUAAUAUCUAAGAUGAAAAAAAACUAAAUAACACAAUAGUAAAGAUAUGAGAUUUAUAAAUGUCCAUUUUCUUUACAUAGAUUGAUUCACAUGAAUACUAUGUGAUGAAAUGAAUAAAUCCCAAAAAAUUGUAAAAAAAGAAGAAAGGAAAAGAAAAGAAAAGAAAAAAUACUUCAUUUGCAAGAAAAAAAAUAAUCUUGAACAACACAACACAGUUGAUGACUUACCUAUAGUAUUGUCAUCUCAGUCAAACAUUUUAUCUACUCUGGAGUUUUUACCUCAUUUGCAUGAUACUCUACAGGUUGCCACAUUGUCUUUCAUGGCCAUUAUUCGAUUGCAUGCUUUUCCCAUAGACAUUAGGAUGUUGCCUACUAAUUAUCGACAUAUUGGUUUAGCUCAUCCUUUUUUUGUCAAUGUUCCUAAAUUUUAUACUAAGAUAAAAAGGUACAUCAUUUUUAAUAAUGAAAUUUUUGAAUUUACUUUUGAUAUGCAAUGUAGACUAGGAGACCCUAAUGAUUAUUAUUCUUUAUUACAUGUCUCAUUGUCUCAAUUUCCUAAAUACGUUCAAAUAAGAGUUUUGGAACAUCCAUAUAGAGAUUUUCUAUUCGAUCGGCCAUCACACUUAAAUAAGAGUUAUAUUUUCAAUAUAGAAGAAUUGUUUCCUUGUUGGGGCUCAUUCGAGCCUUCGAUGUUGCAUACAUUUUUUUCUGCAGGCCAGUGUGCAGUGGUAGUUUCUUGUGCUUCUCAAUAUGUACAACCAAUUGAUGAUUUUGAGAAUGAGUUGCAUGAGUUUUUGCUUUUUGGAAUUCCAUGUCGAUACUUGGUUAAAAUAAGAGAUUGUCCCCCUUGGUUAGAUUAUUCUUGGGGAUGAAUUGCAAUUUCAAUUGUCACAUGAUCGGUUUCGUUCUUUGAUUCAUAAGAAGGAUAGCCAUCCUUGGUUUGAGUUUACUCGAUUAACGUUGUCCAAGAUUCAAUACAGGAAUUUGGUCAAGACAAAAAGAUAAGUCUCGUUGGAGUAUGAAGUUCGAGUCUACCUCGCCGGAGUUGAGUUCUCUCAAUCGGAGAGAAAUGACGCAAUACUAUAGAGAUAAAUUAUUUAUUUAGUUUCCUAUUUUAAUUCAUAUUUCAGAGUGUGAUUUAAUUCACUUUUGUGAAAUUUCUUUACUUAUUUAUGAUUUUUGAAACCCUAUAUAAAAGGGAUUAUAGCGAUAUAAUAAAACUUUAUUAUAUGAAUUAAAUUGAUUUCUCUCCCCAACUUCCAUCUUCUCUUCCCCUCUUCUUCUCUCUUUUACACCUUGUCCUAUAAUUCUUCCUCUUUAUUACUACGUCAAUAACCAAAUUGGAAGGUUUAAAAAAAAAUAAAAAAAUAAUAAUAAUAAUUCUGAAGAGCUGCCAGAAUCUAGUGUAAUUAAGGGAGCUAUUGAGGUGAAAUUUUAGUUGUUGAUGAAUAGUGUAGGCAUGCAAAUAUAGAUCUCUAUUAUUCAAAUUAAGACCCGCUGAUUUGGUUUUGGUGCUCUCAUCAACAUCCAAUACUUUCUGCUUUUGCAUGAGUCGCACAAACAGAAAAGAAAAAUAAAAUUUUUUGGUGUUCUGUUCCAUCCUGCAGGCUUCUGUUUUUGGCAAUUUUUAUUUUUAUGUUCUAUUAUCAACAACAUAAUUAUCAAGUUUUCCAAUUGCUGAGACUGUAUAUUCAUCUAUCUGAUGGAACUAAAGUUGAAUACUGUAAGAUCUUGUUCAACCAUAUGUCAAGUUUGUGCAACAUAAUAUUAUACUUGAAUUUUGUCAGACUUCAAUAUUGAUCUGUGGUCAUCCUUUCUUGUUUCACAGGGAAGAUUCUCCUUUGAGCAACUUUCGUCCCCGCGUGAAACCACUGUUCCAAUAUCGUCAUUAUAGGUAAAGAAUUACGGUUUUUUUAUUAUUUUUAUUUUUUAAAAAGAGCCUGCUGUCAUCAAUUGUUUGUGAAUGUCUCUACGAUGCAACAGCAAUAGCAAUGAGAAUAUGUGGUUUUUCCCAAUACUUGGGGUCAACUUCAUGAAUCUUUUUCGGUUGGUCCAUUUGAUCCAAAGUUACCUUUUUUGACUUACGUCAAAUGAUGAAUUCCUUUUGUAAAUGUAUCUAACAGAGUUUUAUUGCUCUUGUGAAUGCAAUUUUUUUUUUCCUGAGCAAGAUAUGCCACAAUCAUCUACAUUAUUUCUUAAUAUAUCCUCAGUUAUCUUCUUUUAUGCAUUCUAGUGUCACGGCGGAUCCUUCUUAAGAUCAUUACUUUUGUAAUGUUCAUCUUAAGAACAUUUGGUAGCCCAACACUUGCUACAAUUGAAGGUAGUUAACCUAAUAGCUGUACAACCUGAAGUGCAUAACUUCUAUUUUCACCCUUUUCAGUUUUCUUAAAAUUAUCCUAUGCAUUUCAUUCUAUUCAAAUCUUCGUUCUUUAUUUAUAAUCAAGCAUAAGCAUCUAAAACAAUCAUCUUCUGUGACACCGUGAUCCUUUUCUUAAGUUUCCUAUUCAUCCUUAUUAAUAGUGUAACAAAAGGACAUUACAUAUAUUCUGACAUAAUUUUACUUAACCCAAAACCCACCAUGAUUCCGUCAAUCAAAUUUAUUGACAAGUAUCAGUGAUGAGUAUGUUUUGAUAUUACUUCUUGUGGUAACUAUGUUUCAUCUAUAUAACAAAUUUACAUUAAUUUAGAUACUGUUCCUAUAUAUUGUGAUUUAUAACCACUGCAAACUAUUUUCAUUUUAUAGUCAGCAAUUAGAAUUUAAAAGAACCGAAGUAUGAAAAAACAUAUCUGUAGACACUUGCAACUUUUUUUCUUAAGAUAAUGCUUAGGUCUAUUGGUGUACUGCAUGCAUAUGCGUAUACAUGCACUCUGUGUACUUUUUAUGUAUCUGUGGAUGUGUUGGUUUUAAUUGCUUUCUAUCUAACUUUGCAUACAUCAGUGAGCAACAACCCUUGCGAUUGAAUGCUGAGGAGAUAUGUGAGGUUAUCGCAGCAGUGUGCACGGAAACUCCUUCGACAAAUUCUAAUCUCACAACAAUCUCGUCUAAGUUAAGCAACAAUGGAAGGCCAUCUCUUGACGUGGCUGUGAGCGUUCUUGUCAAACUUAUAAUUGACAUGUAUGUUCUGAUGCAUUUUGUUUAUACUAUAAGACUUCAUUGAACUUUGUCUUUCUCCAUUUAUCAAUGAGUAGUGACACUUCAUGGUAUAUAUUUAUGGAAAGGAGACACUAUCAUUAUCCAGUACAGAAGUUAGAUCCUUUCUGUACCCUUUCUGGGUGUCUCGUUCAAAUUGCGUUCGAUGUUGUCGUCAACAGGACGUAUCUGAUCUUCAAUAACUUUCUUGGUUUAAAGUCUCUAUUUGUUCAUUGCCACAUAAUAUGAUUCAAAUUCUCCAUGCUCUCGUAUAAUAAGUCAAAUUUUGACUUCUGCUAAGUAAAGGAAAAUAAAUUUAUGCUCUUCAUCUAUUAUGCUAUUUCUUGACUGCAGACAAUUCUAACACCCCCCCCCCCCCCCCCCGGAUCUUGUUUUCCUGCUGAUCUUUUCUAAUUCCUUUUUGUAGGUACGUUUUGGAUUCUGUGACUGCUGCUCCUCUAACUUUAUCGAUACUCGAGGUGCUGCAUACUUUGCACUUGUUUUUUGCAACUCGUAGUUAUAGCUAAUUAUUUGCACACAAAUUAUUGUAGGAUAUGCUAAAUUCUCCAAAAGUGAUGUCAAGGGCUCAAGCUUUUGAUUUAAUUUUGAACCUCGGAGUUCACGCACAUUUAUUGGAGCCUCCAGCACCUGAUGACACCUCUGGAAUUGAAGAAGAGUAUUUGCACGAACCAUAUUUCGAAAAUGAAACUCAACUUUCUUCGCAAGGAAAGAGAAUAUUAGACAAUUUUAAGAAAAUGGGGAAUUCUUCAGCUAUUGAUAAGUUUGAGAAUUGGAUUCUGGGCAUUCUCUAUGAGGUUCUUCUUCAUCUUGUUCAGGUAUAUGUGAUAUUUAUUUAUGGCAUGGCAGAAUUUUACAGUAAUUUGGCACCCUUUUUUUUUUUUAAUAACCCUUUGGUGAUGGGGAAGGGGCUUAAUUUACUUGUACAUAUUUGAAUCAAACAUAAAGGGCUGCAUCCAUACAAACUUAAUGCUUAUCGCUGUGUUUCAGCUGACAGAAAAUAUUCAUGGGGAUAUUAUGAACUUGUACACACAAUAAUACUCAUUUUUAGUCAAUGAAAUGAAUAUUUCAUUAAAAUUUCUAAUGACACUCAUGUCAGCUUCAAUUCUAUAAAAUAAUUAAUAUGCGUCUCUCGGAAUUGAAACUCAAAAAGACACUUGGAUAAUUUCAUAUAAUAAAAUAGAAGUUUGAAAUUUGAAUUCAGGAAAUAUCUAUGAGGUUGUUAACUGCACAAGAGAAGUGAGGAAGUAAAGAAGACACGAAAUUUGUUGGGUUUUUAACAAAAGAGAAGAACUCUAGUUAGAUUUAGGCUCAACUGUUGAUCAUUAAUAAACAGAUGAAAGACUGAUUGGAUUUUUGUAUUGAAUGACAAAUAUGACACCAUCGCUUUUUUUUUUUUUUUUUUUUUAAUUGAUGUUAUCUAUUUACCUAGGUUAUGAUUCCAAGAAUGGACCAAACAAGUCAACAUUCAUUUUCUUUUAUAGACAAUCAAUAUUUCUUGUAAAUCCUCCAUUUCUCCUACAACCAGGCAUGUGUAUCAACUCUAUUCAUUUUUCAAUCCCAUGCUCAAGCAUCCCAAUUGCUUCAUAUUUUGUGCUCUCUCUGUAUGUGUGAUAUAAUGGUACACAUGUUAAAACGGAUGUCUAGAUGGUACCACAUAGCUGCUAUAUUAGUCUAGAAUUUUAUCUGAUUGGUUGUAGUAAACUUCUAAUUUCUGCAUUUGUUUGAUUCAUAUUUAUAGGUUGUGCUGCACGUUUCAUGUAUUGUCGUUGUCUAAUACAUGCUUAUUUCUCAGAUUGAAGAGAAGGAAGAAUCUGUCUGGGCUUCAGGUUUAAGUUGUUUACUCUAUUUUGUUUGUGAUAGAGGGAACAUUCGAAGAAGCAGAUUACAAGGUCUUGAUAUUAGAGUGAGUAUUUUUACGCAUUGUUUUGAUAUCAUCUGUGAGCAGAUAAGGUUUAUAUGCAAUUCAAUUUUGGAAUCAUUGUACUACAGACUAUAUUAAGUGGGAGUAUUCUGCGUUAUGAGAAGGGGAAAGCUCUCUUAGUUACAUCUCACGUAGAACUUGUUUAAAUUCUGGAUGGGAUGUUUUGAUAUGAAAGGAAAGUGUUUGGAGAACAGAAUGACUAGCAAAAGGGAAUGGCUUCCUCCCACCUUAAUAAUAUCUUAGGUUAUUGACAAAUUGGUGAAUGCUGAAAUUCCUUGUGAGAAGGCAAAAAGGGAAGGGGGAACUUUCAGUUACUUGAAAUCUUUACAUUCUCUUGUUAAAUAAAAUUACCAUUAAACUAAAGAUCUUUCAGUAUUAUCAAAUUCUGAGUUGAUCAAUGGCGAUAUCAUAGAAAUUGAAUUGUUAGGAUGAGAAAGUUCCUCACGUUAGUUUUCUAAACCUCGUAAAAGAUCAGAUAUUUCUUGAAAAUACUCUAUAUUGAUUGAAUGAAAGGGAUUCAUACAGUUAGUUGCAGAUGAGUUGGCAAAAGCAACCUGAAUGGUUUUCCUGGCUUCUGGUUAGAAAACCUUAAAAUUUAAUGAAGUGUUGGUUAUCUGAUGAUGAAAUCUGCAAGGAUUAUUCCUUUCAAAGCCUUCAAAUUACCAAACGCAAAGAGAGGAUGUCAUUUGUCUGUAAUCUUCUACUACUGGGUGUCUGUUAAUUGAAAGAAAAGGAUGGUCACUGACUUACCGGUAGUUUAUUUUUUAACGAUUAUUAUGGACUUACAGACAAUUGAUAAUUUUGUGUUUUAACCAAUGGAACCAUAACCUGAAAGAAUAAAAUGUUAAGAGUGGUUUACCAUUCGUCUAUGGUACUGGAAGCUUGGCACAUGAUGGCUUCAUUGGUGGUUAAAUAGGCAGAUUUUCAGCAUCUCACCCAAACAUGAAAUGAGAUGGAAUUCCUCUUCGUUAGCCAACCAAAGCAUCUUUAACGAAUGUUUUUUCCUCAAUAUUCAAUAAAUUUUGAUGUGCAUGGCCAAUAAAUUUUAUUUUGUGUUUUCUACUCCUACCUUUUACUAUUCCAAUAUUGACUACAUCUACUCUUACUUUACUCACAGGUUAUUAAGGUACUCAUACGGAUUAGUAGAAGAAACUCUUGGGCAGAAAUCGUUCAUUGCAAGCUUAUUUGCAUGAUGACAAACAUGUUUUAUCAAGUUCCUGAAGGGCCUGAUAAAGUUGUUUCAGCUACUCCAAUCUUUCUUGUUCAGCAGUUUGAUCUGAUUGGAGGGAAUGAGUUUAUAUUUGAAGAGGUAAUAUGCGGAGCAUCUUUUUAAGAGAGUUCAUAUGCUGCAUUAUGAAUGAACUAAAAUAUGUUGAAGGGAAUUUUGCGUAUUCAAAUAUUUACUAGAAAUUAUUGGAUAUAUUUUUCUACCAUAGUUGGAAAGAUCUUACAUCUACGUAUAUUUGGGCUGCAUGUGGAGAUUUGGCUGCUGGUUAAUACUAUAUUUCACAAAAUUUCAAAUUCUUGUGGAUGAAAUCAUAGAUGAUAAAGAAAAUCCGUGCCCUCUCAUUCAUAUAUUGAGUAUGCUCACCCCGAAAAAAAUAAAAGAAUUCUUCUUUGAUAUUCACUUGGACAAGAAGAAAGUAAUUCACAAAGACCAAGUUUUUGGAAGUCUUCUAUGGAAUAGGGUCAGAUCCAACUGAGUUAUGUUAUAUUUCAUAUUGUACUGCCACCGUGACUUGAAAUUUCAAGCUCUUUUUCUAGUUACAAUUGUUUGAAGACAGUUGAAGCAAAUAAAUUCAUUCCUUCUCGGACAACUUAAUAUUUAAGAUCAGCUACUUAGGAUUCGUACCAGAGCACGUAUCCUUUGAAGCUUGGUCCUUGCUUUGGAUGGGCUAACCUGUGAUUGGCAGGUUCUGAUUCCUGAAGAAGACUGACUUUUUAGGUAAGGAAUGGAAAUUCUUAGCACUUCUUCUUGGCCUGAAAAGGCAGUGGACCAACCAUCUUAAAUCCAAAGCUAUGACCUCCCCGAGCCCAAUUAUUUAUUAAGGUCUUUUACUGGUUUCAUUAAGUCACCGGCUAGAAAAUGCAGGUUACCAUGGAUGUUAAUUCCAAAAAGAAAAGUGAAUUGUAACAACUCUAUUCCUCGUCAUUGGCAAAUUGAUGUUCCAAUAUCUUGUCACCCCCCCCCCCCUUUUUAUUAGACUUUCGCAUUGAACUUAUAAGUUAAUUGGGCACCCUGUCCUUACAAGCCAGUUUUAAGGGUUCUGUCCAAUGUGAUUGUAAUAAUGGUACGAAUGUAUGAGAGCACAACAAAUUCUCCAGAAGCUAGUAUGGGAGUAUGUUCUCUCCUCCAGAAGUGACUCAGGAAAAGUUGAUCUCAAGUCUCGCCACCACUCAUUUAUGGAAGCCAUUUAAAUCAUGGGAGGUGUUGAAGAUAAAUUUUAAUUAAAUAAAUAAAUUUGUCUCGUCUCUAAAUGCUUAAUAUUUCAGAUGAUGUGGUUGAAUGACAUAGAACACAAGUAGAAGUAUGAUUGCAUGUAUAUGAUCUGUUUCAUCAUUUAACUCCAUCUUGCUACUGUUCAGUUUUCUCUUCUGAUCAUUUCUUUCUUUCAUAAUUUGAACUGUAGCAAUCCAUUUAAAUGGAUCACAUGUUAGGACGAUAGGUGGAAAAUAACUUGUUUAUUUCUCUUAAUUCGACCUUCUUUUUUUGUGUGUGUUCUCUCUUGAGGCCUUUCCUCUUUUCCAUGUCACUCACUCUCUCUGGCCUUUAUAUUUGAAUAUAUAAUCUAAAACAAUGAAGAAUUUCUAUUAUUAACGAGGUGUUCAAGUUGCAUAGGGAUCUUUAUCUUAUUUCUUCUGCUACAUUACAUCACAGUUCUAGUUUAGUUUUAGUUAAGUAGUUGCACAUUUGCUUUGGAUUCAUAUCUAAGUAGCUCUGAACUGAAACCUGUUAAUGUUUACUGUGGGUGUGGAGGCCCUUGGAUCAGUAGAUAGGAUGAACUGAUGACUCUACAUUAUAGUGAAUUUCUUUUAACAGAUCAGUUAUAUAGAAGAGAUAUAAAUAUCUUCUUAUACGUACAAGACCCCAAAAAGAAGACUUCCAGAAGUCCCGCUUUACUCAGUAAUGCAUUUAUAUAGACAUUAUAAAGAAUUAUUCCCUGAAUUAAACAUCCACAAACCACAAGCAUUUAAUAGAUGACAAAGAAUGUUUUAGAUGUGUAUAUUUCUUUUUAUUUACACCAUAAUAUUUCAGUCUAAUAGCCUUUGCAUGAUGCAAUGCAAUUGCACUUGAUGCUGUCAAUAUAUAUUAUCAUACCAAUGUUAUUAUAAAAACUGUUACUUCUGAAAGCAUUGAGCUGAGUUGCUAUGGUGGUUCAGUUACUACUCUGUGUUUUUGAAGUCGGUAGGAUCCAUUUAUAUUUUUAUUUUCAAUGAAAUUUUUGUUGAUGGAAAUGGAAGUUUCCUGUGUUUGAAAUCGCUUUUCUGCAGAGUAGUUACAGUGACCUUCAAAACAUGAUAAUGUUCUUGGUGAAUGAUAACAUUGUCCUGUUUGAUCUAAAUUAUCAUAUAAGCAUUAAUGUGUGUUUUCAGACUCUUCUAUGGUCCUAAAUCAAAAGACUGGUACUAACCUCAAGUUGUGGGGUUGGUAAUAUCUGCUCUCAAUCAUUUGAAUUUUUCUAUGCAAACAAUGGGAUUUCUGCUGGAUCUAUCCCAUUUUGGGGGUUAACCAAAGAGGUUCAUUACCUGAGUUUUAAACUGAAAUUUGGAUUCAAUUUGGAUUUAUAAUCCGUUUUAUUAAUUUCAUUUGAUAGCAAUUCAAUGAUAGCACACCUGUAUAUAUUUCUGAAUUUACAGUUAUGAUUUUAUAAAUGCAGUUGGUGCUUUCAAACUCAAGAGAAGAACGGAGAAAUCUGUAUCUGGUUCUUUUUGAUUAUUUAUUGCAUAAGAUAAAUGAGACAUGUAUAGCUUCUGGAGUGUCCGAGUACAGUGAUGAUGAGGUUCAACCUAUUGCUACCUUACUCAUGCUUGCAGAUGCACCUGAAGCUCUGCAUUUAUCUGUCAAGUUAGGAGUUGAAGGCAUGGUGGAGCUAUUGAAAAGAUCAAUCUCUACAGCAUUGUCCAGAUAUCCUAAUAAUGAUCGGCUUAUUACAGUAAUGUUCCACGCCUUUAACAUUUUCAUCUGCAUGAACUAGAGCUUAAUAUUUCUUUUUAGCUUGUGAGAAAAGACUAGGGAAUAUAUCCAAAAUUGUUAAUUGAUUUCAUAUAUCCACACAGUACUCAACAGUUGUUGUAUGCAUUUUUGUUCUAGUCUCAAUGUCUUCAUGAUAUUUGGUGUUUUUUCAGACAGGGACUGUAAUGCCUGUGGUCUGUUCACUCAGAAUUUCCCCAUGCAUUUACUAUGGGAAAUAGGGGUAGAAGGCUGUAAAAGAAAAAUAUAGAAUAACUUCAAUUUAAAAUCUGUACCUUGAAAUGGCGAGUAGAAUCGGUUGGUUUGAGGACAUGGAACUUGAAUGAAAGUAAUCUUGCACUUACUCAACAUAUUUGCUUGCUUGUGAUCUACAUGUCUUCUUCCCUCUAACUGUGGCCACAUAUAGCCUUAUAAAUAGCCAUGACAUUUAAUGUUGAUGUGUAAAGUCUGAAUAUAACCUUUUUCUGCAUUUCAAGUUGAUUGUAUUUACCUUUGCUGUGUCAUCUUUAUAAGUGGACUUCAAGCAAUUGCAUGUCUAUGCAUCUAAACUUGUGGAAGUCUUACUUUGUUCCUAUCUAUCUUCUGAUUCUUUAAACCUAAGGAAUGGCAUUUAUCGUUAAGUUGUACGCCAUUAUUUUCUUUCUAAUAAUUUGUUUCGAAGGUGGAUUUGUUUGGUUUGACUUUUUCUGGCCCUUCUCCUCAUGGGAACAUGCAUGUACCUGUUUGUGUGUAUAUGCAUCCAAAAGACGAAUUACAUGACCUUUAAUUGUAUUCGAAUUCUGUUUUCUCUUGCAGCUUUUGCAGAGUAUGGUAGAGAAGUUUGAUAUGCUCAUGAGAUCAUUUACUUGUCUAGACACAGAAUUUACCCAAAUGGUUCAAAUGACCAAAUCAUUCAAGUCUUUAGAAAGCAUUGAUGAAGUUCACGUAAACAGUGUUGGCAUUAAAGCAAAGCUCUCUUGGGCUACUUUACAUUCUCUUCUUCAUUCUGAACGAUCUGCUUAUCGGCACAAUGGUUAUCUCUGGUUAGUAGAUUUGCUCAUUGCAGAAAUAAGUGAUGAAGGGGACGAGAGCCUGUGGUUGAGCAUACAAACCUUGGAGCAAAAAAUAAAAAUUGCUGGUGUUAAUGAUUAUUCAGCUUCUUUAGGUGUUCCUUUACCCAUUUGGCUUAUGUGUGGGCUUCUAAAGUCAAGAAACAAUCUUGUCAGAUGGGGUUUUCUACUUGUUCUAGAGAGGCUGCUCAUGCGAUGCAAAUUUCUGUUAGAUGAGAGUGAAGUUCAACAUGUUAUCAGAAGUGAAGCUUCAGGCCACAUGCACGCCAAGAAUCGUCUUGAAAAAGCAAAUGCUGUGAUAAACAUUAUGAGUAAUGCCUUAUCCUUGAUGGCCCAAAGAAACGAGACUGAUCGUAUGAAUAUUUUGAAGGUAAUGUUACCUGAAUCAUCUCAAACCUGUUGUGACAGUCUGUAACUGUUUCAAAGUUACCGUUCUUUUCACAGCUAGAACUUCCAUUUGGAUGCUAUCUAUUUUGGCCUAAUGAUGCAUUUACAUUAUUGGAUUGGCAUAACACUGAAGCAGAUAAAGGUCGCAUUUAUGAUUUAUCAGUAUCUGCUGUCCAUAUUCUCUGCAUUGACCAUUUUGAUAUUCAAAACAUAUUAUAAAUACCUCUUUUCCUGAAAAGUAUAAUAAUAAAAUUUUUUUAGUUGUAUAUUGAUGAUUGCCCAAAUAUUUUUGUAGUGGUGGCAGCCUUUUCCCCCUGUUGUCAUGUUAAAUGGCUGAACAGUCUUUGGUUGGGUGGAUGGUUGCACCGUACUGUUAAAAUACCCUUCUUAGUGGCACAUCUUUCCAAUUGCUAACUUGAGCUUUGAUUUUGUGCAUUAGUUGUUGUAGUCUGAAUUUUCCAUGUUCUCAUCAAAACUUUGGAAAGCAAAAUGACAAUCAGUAAAACUCAGGUUCCCCUUCCCAGUACUCUUCAGAGGAACAAAAAGGUGAAAAAAGGGCAGUUGCGAGCCAAUAUAUGGUUUUCAUUUAUUUGCUUGAUUCUCUUAUAUGCUGACAUUUGAUUUUAUGUUUGCGCACGCUGCAUGCAUGUCUGAAUCAUAUUUUUCUCCUUUAUAAACUUACAUAAUUAUCUUUCUUGAUGUCUUUGAGCAGAUGUGUGAUAUUCUAUUUUCACAAUUGUGCUUGAAAGUAGUCCCUACAACCGCGAUGCUGUUCGGAGACACAAAGAUUCAUGAUUCUAGUAGCUCAGAACGGAAUAAAGCAGGGGCGGAAUCUCUCUCUCAAAAAGAGAAUCUUGGCCGGGAAGAAUCCAUGGGGGAUUCUGACAGCAAGAUUGGCAAAAGUUUUAAUCCUAAAAUCUGUGGUACUGCAUCGAUGGCAGCACUGCUGCUUAAUGGACAAGCAAUUGUACCAAUGCAAUUAGUUGCACGCAUUCCUGCUGCUUUAUUUUACUGGCCUCUCAUCCAACUUGCUGGAGCUGCAACAGACAAUAUUGCAUUGGGUGUCUCUGUUGGUAGCAAAGGAAGAGGGAAUAUACCAGGUGCCACGUCAGAUAUACGGGCUACCCUUCUCUUACUUCUAAUUGGUAAAUGUACAGCAGACCCUGCUGCUUUUUCAGAUGUUGGCGGUGAACAGUUCUUCAGGUAACUUUGUAGUUAUAACUUUACUCUUGUAUGUGGAAGUCACAUUCCUUUUUAUAUAUGUUUAUGAAGGAGUUUUACAUCAAUGGAUAUUCGGCAGGGAGUUGUUGGAUGAUACAGACGCAAGAGUGGCAUACUACUCUUCUACCUUUCUUUUGAAGGCAAGUGUUUGUCGUCUUUUGCUUACCUUGAGGUCUGAAAUGUUCAAGCUAUUGCAUUGAAUUGAUUUGAAAUUUAAAUUUGGCAGAGAAUGAUGACAGAGGAACCAGAAAAUUACCAACGGAUGCUUCAUAGUCUUGUUUCAAGAGCUCAGCAGGUGCAUUCUUAUUUGAUAUUUCAUCUGAAGAAUACGUGGCAUUUCUUGAAAACUAUUGUUACUUAGGAACAUAGUUUAAAGAGGCGUGAUUGGAGCCCGCCUCAGUCUGAGGCUUGAAUAUUUAAGGGGGAGAAUGAGGUUUAUGCCUUUAGUGGUUGAGGAGGUGCAAGCCUCAAAAGUGAGGCGUGUGACUCUCCUUAAAUAUCUUGGGAACUAAUUUUUUUUAAAGUUCUCGUCUUACAUUGGUUGACUUCAUUCGAAAUCCAAUAUAUAUUAAAAUGGCAUUGGGAAUCUACCAAAAUUUUAAUAAAAUCUUACCAAAGUUCAUUGAAUAUCUGCUACAAAUUAUCUUUUGGAAUCCAUUAUAUUUCAAAACCUAAUUAAUUUCUUUUAUUAUAUAUUACGCGUCAUAAAUAAAAAUACGUUACAAGUUCAAACACACAGAACAAGUAAAACAACACUACAACCCUAGAAUUGCAUCAUUGUGAUGACUGCUCAUUCGGCGGAGGAGACAUCACUCCGGCGGAGACUUGAUUGCAUUGGUACUUUAAAUUGUUCUAUUAGAAUUUGAAUAGUAUAUGUUUAUUUUUGUAAUUUUGUACUUUUUUUGCUAAUUUUUUGUGCACAAGUCUUGUGCCUCAAGGCUUACGUCUCACUUCACGAAGGAACAAUGCCUCUGUAAGCACUGCCUAGGAAGUGCCAACACUGACAUGGACACACCUACAUACAACUUUUCAAAAAGCAUAGACAAUGCGUACCCCACAUGACAACUAAAAUAAUAUUUUUAUUUUAUUUUCAUAUUGUGAAGUAAAUUUAUAUUUGUGAAUUCUGGUGUGUCGACCAUAUAUCUUUUAGCCUGUUAAUGUAUCGGUGACAUGUCCAUCUCUACAAAGUAAAAAUAUAAUUUGAAUUCACCACCUGGCAUCAUUGGCAUGUGUUGGCGAUGUGUCAAUGUCCCACACGAUUUAUCUACCUGCUUGUGUGUCGGUGAAAUCUCUAAUUCAACAAAAAAAAAAAUAAUUUGAAACAUGCCGCCUGACAUCAUUGACCUAUGUUGGUGACAUGUAUAUCCUAGCGUGUUGGCAACAUGUCCAACUAUACAAAACCAAAAGCAAUUUGCAUUUAGGUGACACACGAUUAUCUCCCAGAUUAUCAGCAAUGUGUCAUAACAUUGUCCAACUACACAACAAAAUAAUAAAUUGGAGAUAGCACAUGGUGUUUGAGAUGAGCGUUAGUAUCAUGAUGCUACUCAGCAGCACCAGGAGGGUUGUUGGUGCUUCCUUGAUUGUUACUUAAUUGUGUGUAGGAACACCGUUUGUGAAGGCCAGUACUAGGUAGCAGUAUCCUAUAAAUAGCCGCCAGAGAGUAAACAAAAUGAACAGUAGAAUAUUCAGAAUGGAAAACUCAAAAGUUUAUGCUUCAUCAUUUGUCCUCUGACUUGGUGACCUAGCUGAGUUGAAAAUGAGGUAGAUUAUAUUGAUCACAUUAAGGAUUUUGCAUUUUCUGUUGCCACUGCAUCAAAUCUACCAUUUUUGCAACUUGACUCUGCCAAGAUUAUCAGAUUUCUGAUGACCUUAUAUAGAACUCGUCCAGCAACGAGUGAUUGCAUUAGCUUCCCGAUGUAAGUUUUCUAAGUCACUCAGUUAUGCCAGGUUAUUUUAAUUUGUGAACCUGAUAUCUUAAGCAACAGUCAUAACGCACUCCUUUCUUGCUUCAUUUUCUUCACUCUACUUCGAAUCCUUGAAUGCACAAGCAUUGUUGUCUACAGUUGAUGGAGCAUUAUCUUUAAAAUAAAAUAUCUGAAUGAGAAAACUGAUUGUUUUACUGACCUGUACGAAAGUUGGGAGCAGCACAAACUGGACAGGCGGUGAUGUUGGCUCUUUUUUUUUUUUUUUUUUUUUUUUUUUUUUUGACUAUUUUGUCAGUUUCUUGAAAGUGAAAAUGUAACCAACUGUAAUAUCACCUUUUAGUCAAGAAUCCAUACUCAGGAAAAGCAAUGAACAAGAUAGGUUUUCGUUCUAUUGUUUAUUAAACUAUUUCAUCACUCUUUUGAUCUAUCAACUUACAUCAUUUGUUUAUGGUAAGGAGACCAUAUUGAUCGUUCCUCUCUAUAGCAUGUGUAGUAACAUUGAACCAUUUCAUUUUAUGAUUGUCAAGAAUUCAAACAAAUGCUUAAGGUUUAUGAAUCUCUUUACAGAGUAACAAUGAAAAGCUGUUGGAGAAUCCCUACCUUCAGAUGCGUGGCUUACUUCAGCUGUCAAAUGAAUAAUUUGGAAGCUCUGAGUUGUGCUUGAUUUGUUUGGUUUCAUUUGGAGAAAUUUAUUGCUCCGUGCUCCUGAUGAUCAAUGUAUUCUGGUGGGGCAAUCCCUGGUUAGAUUGUGAAUUAGUGAGAUACAAGAUGCUUAAAGAGGCUUCAAUUCACAACUUAUUCCAUGCAGCCAAAUUGAAAUCAACAGAACAAGGUGCUUAUACAUUAAACUUGGCCACAUUCUGUCUGCCGUUGUAUAUUCUUCAAGAGCCUCCGUUAUGCUGCAGUUGGGAUCACAUUAAGAGAGUUCCAUCUAUUGGUUGAAAUGAUGAAAAAUCACUUAUACAUAUGAAAAAUAAAGCUUUGCAUUCGUUUGAAGUUUAUGAAUUGGCACUUUUGUGCGUACAGUUGCCAAAGCACAAACAUCCAGGUACUUCUGUUCAAAUAUGCUCUUUCUAUUAAAUUCCCAUAUUUUCAAAAUGUUGGAUGUGACGAAAAGCCUUUCCAAUUAUGAAUUUUCUUGUUCAUUACCGUUUAAUAACUUGUGUUAGUAAUAACUAUUUGCAAUGUUUAAUUUUGUUCAACUGUGCUUUUUUGGCCCUUUCAAGAACACUCCUCUUCCCUCAUGGAGCUUUUGGAUCAAAGCUGCUUGAUUUAUUUCUCUGUAAUUUUCUUACAGCGUGAAAAUAUGUAUAUGUAUAUAUUGGUAUUCAGUGCAAGUUUACACAACUUUCUUCCUGAUGAUUCUCUGUUGUCUUUUUCUAAGUGGAAGGCAGUAUAUUGGCAUGUCGCUGCUGAGGAUAUUAAUGGAGUCUUCGAUAAAAAGAAGAUUUUCAUUUUGUCGUUCUAAAGGACAAUAUUCUUUGGACGAAGCUCAAGAUAGUCACUCACUCACUCACUUCUUAAUGGUAGAAGCUCAGCCGAAGGAUUGGGAAAAUCAAGACAAUAGAUGAAAGCAGAAAGAUGAACAUCUCAUUGCAGGUGAAGUCUCUCAAUAGGGCACAUUGGUACAUAUUUUUUUAAAUAUUGGUAGUGUUUACUGGUUUUUGUAGUUUUGCUUUUCUUUGUGUAGGCAUUUUGCACUCCCAAUUCUCUUUAGCUUACAAAAUUACACCAGAUGCAAGAGCAUAAAAUAUUAUACUGUCACUGUGGUAUAAUUGCUGUUGAUUGUAACAUGCAUAUUAAUUAUAUGUUUGUAUUUUUGUGCAUGAAAUUUCAAAUUUAAUGCUCCGGGUUCGACUCCCUUAUAUUGUGUAUAAUUUUUCAGAUGACAUGAUAUAUUAUUUCACUACAUAAUUUUUAGUUCCAAUUUGGA